GCCUGGGAGCGGCGCUGGGACCCGUCCGGAGGCGCUGGCAUCGCCCCAAAGCUCCCCGAGACCUGGCUGCGGACAGCAGCUUCCCAGUGGCUCUGCAGUGACAGGGAAAGGCCAGCGACCCGCAGGUGGGACUGGACAGUGACAGGGAGAAGGUGCAGAGCCCC